CUGAACUCUGUAUGCUGGAUCCAACAGCUGCUUAUUCUGCUCUUUGCUUCUUUCAGAAAGCUUCUCUGUUACCUGUAUUUCGGUGCAGGUACUCAGAGUGAACAGAAACCCUUCUGCACAAUAUUUAGUUUGGACUUGUGCUUUUGAAACACAAGACACUUCUUAAAAGGCCCUUCUAAGUCUGAGUAAAUCCUGGUUAGUUUGUUGUGGGGGUUUGGUUUGACUCAACCACAUGAUCGGAGUCAGGUGAUGGAAUUGGGAAGAAAAACUAAAAAAGGGACAAACUAUUAGCUGUAGGAGCUUAGCAGCUGCUCUCCCUUAGUGAGGAGCCGUGACCCGCUUAGAAAAUGGGUUCCUGUCCCAGGUCUCUGCUUUGGAGUUUAGGUGCAGCUUGUUUGAUGGGUAUUGUUGUUGGACAAACGACUACUGCCCAGGUCUCUGCGGAAUCACCAGUGGUAUCUGCUGGUGUUUCAUCAGCUGCUCCAAAUGCAACCAUUGUCGGGGUCUCUACGGUAUCAACUACAGCUGUAACAGUAACAGCUGAAGUGCUGUCAACCACUGCAAACCCCACGGUGCCAUCUGCCACAACAGUAUCUGCUGAGGUUUCGUCCACCACCCGAACUGCAACAGUGUCCACUAUUCCAAAUAGGACCACUGUUCAGGUUUCUCCAGGACCAACAUCAGCUGUGACAGAGUCGGCUGGGGUAACAUCAGCUACCCCCCAUGGCACAGUACCUACCAGCAUGCUGGCUACUGCUCCAAACGUGACACUGUCUGCUGGGGUUCCAUCAGCCACUCCAUUCGUAACCACCAUGGAGUCCACAAACUGCAGUGCAGUGAACACAACAGCCUGUACAGCUUGUUCACCAGGAAUGUUUCCCAGCAAUGAGACAUGGGGUUGCGUAUGCUGCUCAGAGGGCUUCUGCGCAGACCCUAUUGCUUGCAUACCCUGUCCAGUGGGUCACUAUCAGCCUCUAGCUGGACAACUGUCGUGUCUGCUUUGCCCACAAGGAUAUUACACUAAUUUAAUGAAAAGUGUUGUAUGCCUGCCCUGUCAGCCUGGCUCUUAUUCCAAUGAGUCUGGGGCACCAGCUUGCAGACCAUGUGGAAAAGGGCAUUUCAGCUUCCAGAAAAAUUCAGCAUUCUGCAUGCCGUGUCCACGUGGAUCAUUUUGCAAUACUACCAACUGCAGCAAUUGUACAAUGUGCCCCACUGGAGAAGAGGCCCUUACAGAAGCCUCUGAAGAAUGUGCACCUUGUCUGCCAGGUACAUAUAAAGGCCCCAGGAACAGCAAAUGUGAAAUCUGCAAUAUAGGAGAAUACCAAGUACGAAGGGGCAAGGAGAGCUGUGACAAAUGCCCAGAAAAUUAUUACUGUCCUAGUCCAGAUGUGAACCCAAUUGCGUGUCCUUCUAAUGCCUUCUGCCCAGCUGGGAGCACUCAACCACAAUAUUGUAUGGAAACAUUUCUUUAUAAGGCAGGAAACUCUUGUGAACUGGCUCCUCUAACCAUUGUAUUACUAGCUGUUUCUUCAGCAGGUGGAGUCCUUCUUGUGUCUGUAAUAAUUCUGAAACAAAGGCAAGAAAAUGGCAGGAAAACUGUAAAAUCUCCAUUACUUUCAAAAGGAGCGAGGGCACACACAACUUAUGGUGUGACUGGGCGCACAGAACCGGUAUAUGCUGGCUGGUAGUUGGCUAGGAUUGUACAGAGUUGUAAAAAUCACAAGUCUUUUCUCAGUUUCUAUUCUCAUGUCUGGUGAUUUGAUAGAUGUGAAUUUAGGAAUGUAAGACAUCAUUAAUCCAUAGGGAUUUGUUUGUGUAGCCAAAACAUUUAAUUGUACCCGUGAGUGAACAAAAAUGAAACUUAAAAAGUGAUUUGAUUUGUGCAGGUCUGGCUUAAUUCAAGAAUAAGAAGGUGCAUCCUUACACAUUAUCACUCCCACCUCCAAGGGACAAAAUUGUGUGUCAUGGCAAUCCUCUCAAUUUCAACAACAGACAAUACCGUGAGUAUACGGUAGCAUCACAUAACAUAGCCUCGUUACAGUAUGCUAGCUAUUCCUACCAUGGCAGGACUUAACACAAAACUAAUUCCUCUUAAGAACAUACAGAAUCUCUUCUUCCACUCCCAAAACAUAACUGUUUCCCCUAAGCAGGAGUGGGGCAGAGAAAGCUGCAUGCAGGGGCGGCUCUAUGCAUUUUGCCACCCCAAGCACAGCAGUCAGGCGGCUUUUGGCGGCACGCCUGCAGGAGGUCCGCCAGUAACAUGGAUUUGGUGGCAUGUCUCCAGGAGGUCUGCUGAUAACACGGAUUCGGUGGCAUGCCUGCGGGAGGUCCGCCGGUUCCGCGCCUUCAGUGUACCCACCGCCGAAUUGCCGCUGAAACCGGGGGACUGGCAGACUUCCUGCAGGCACGCUGCCGAAAGUUGCCUGCCGCCGCCCUCUCAGCGACCAGCAGGCUGCUCCCUGCAGCUUGCCGCCCCAGCAGUGCCUGGGGCGCUGGUGCCUGGCACCGCCCCUGGCUGCAUGAUUCCAGAUUCACCCUUCUCCCACAACUGUGAGAGGGUAUCUGUAGGGAAAGUGGUGGGCAAUUAUGGAAAAAUCUCUCUCCAGUGUUUGCUCUAGUCCCCAAUGGAACUGGCUGCGGAAGUUGCUCACUAUUAUAGGGCUGCUGCAUCAGACAAGCAGCCCAACA
ensembl:lncRNA